CCGGCAGGGGGUGGCCUUGAGAGGAGGCAGCUGCAGGAACCCCGGGAGCGUCCUCGUAGCCAGAAGUGUGAUGAGCCUUCCCUGCCUCCCUUGGGGCCUGUGCAAUGAUAGAUGAAGAUCCGGACUACAGUGAACUGAGAGAGGCACACCCCUCGGGCCCCAAAUUGAAAGGGGUGCCCAAAAGCAGUGAGCAAGACAAAGAACCCAGUUAACAGUGGGCAGAAGAUCUGAAGAGACCUUUCUCCAAAGAAGAUAUGCAAAUGGCCAACAAGCCCAGGAAAAGACGCCUCACAUCACCAAUCAUUAGGGAUGCACUGAAACCACAAUAAGACACCGCUUCAGAGCCACUAGGAUGGCUACGAUCAGAAAGACUAGUCGUGAGAAGGUCAAGGAGGAUGUGGACAAACUGGAACCCUCAAGCGCUGCUGGUGGGAAGGCAGGUCCAGUCUUUCAGCCCCACUCUGCACACCCGGCAGGGAACACAGCUUCAGCUCUCGAGUCUUGGUCGUCUCAGGGUCACUGGCUAAGGAGUAAGGACAUCGGACAUAAACUGGGCCAACUGGAGACAGCCAGCCCCUUGGUGACACUGACUGGGCCAAAGAUGGACGCAUGACAAAACAGAAACAGACCAAUCAGGGUCCUUCCCUGGGAAGCCCUGCUGGAUGGCAGGUGGCCCCUCCCUGUGGGAAGUGGCCCAUCAGCGGCAGGAGAGAUGAAGCUCCCCAGCAGAGAGAGGCAAAGAGGUGGGAAGGGGGACCUGGCUAUGGCCCUCCGCAAACCCCCCCAAGGCCCCUCCUUUGAUCUGGUGAGUUAAGCUCCUGUGUAGCUGGCUUGUGUCAGGUUUCUGCCCAGGUGGUAGUUGAGGACCUGGACCCUGGGCCGGACAGCCUUGGCUUUGAGUCCCCUCCAGCACUCACUGGCCGAGUCACCUUUGAUGUGUGGCUGAAGAGCUCAGCAUCUCAGUUUCUCCCCUGUAACCCACACUGGCUUACUGUGGGGAUUAAAUGACCUGUAACAGCACCUGGUGCACAGGACACCCUCAGCAACACCAGCUCUCCAGCCAGGAGCACUCCGGGUCCUACACCUUCUGGGACCCGCGGUGCCCACAGUCGGCCAGCCUGUCCAUCAGAGCAGCCCGGGUGUGGGUCCCUCCUGGCCCUCCUUCCCUCUUGCUGCAGGCUGGACCCUGAUUUCCUUAGUGAUCGAGGCUGCGCUAGUCCUGCUCAAUGAGUCCGUGUGGGUUUCAUGUGGGUUAUGGCAAGAUGGCCCCGCACGUAAGGCUGGCUUCCCAUAGCAGGCAGCCGGGGCCCCAGGGGUCACAAGUGCGAGUGAUGGACCCCGUGAGCUUGACCUGGAGUUGCCCCUUCCCUCAGGGGCUAACUUUGUUUUGGGGUCCAGCUCACCAUGUAGGGCACUUGGAGCGGUGUCAUGUGCAGGUGCCCCACUUCUGCUCCCAAGGAUAGCUCCCUCCCAGUGGGCUGCUCAGGACCUCACACAAACAGCUGUCAGCCAGGCUCGUGCCACGGGGGGACUGGCCCGCCCAGAUCACCCUGAGCCUCAGGGCUGCCCACAGCUUGGGCUCAAACCGGGAGCAUGCCGUCUGCCCCCAACACCGGGCCAGUGGCACACAGCCCCACAGUACCCUGCAUAGUGUCCUCCCAAAAGAUACACCUACCCCGACUGUGACCUUACUAGGAAGUAGGUCUUGCAGAUGUAGUUAUUUAAAGAUCUCAAGACUAGGUCAUCCUGGAUUUGAGGGUGUGCCCUAAAUCCAAUGGCUGGUGUCCCUGGAAGAAGAGGGGACACAGAUGAGUGAAGAAGAUGGCUGUGUGAAAAUGGAGGCAGAGGUGGGGUUAUGCAGCCACAAACCGAGAAGUGCCAAGGACUGUGGGCAACCCCCAGAAGCUAGGAGAGAGGCCUAGGAAGGUGCCACCCUCGGGGCCUCCAGAGAAGACCAACCUUGAUUCCAGACUCCUGGCCUCCUGAAUCACGAGAGAACCAUGAGAGAAGAGAUCUCUGUUCACUGGAGCCCGCCAGUUGGUUGCAGUUUGUGACGGCAGCCCCGGGAACUCGCGCCUGAGCGGUGAGGGCCUGCCGCCUGUUUGGCUCUGUUACUAGAAGCUUCUAAACUGCUCUCUGUGUCUGCCCAGGCAAUUCCAUGUCUAAACAUUUGUUUUUAGGAAAUAAUUGGAACAGUGCAAAGAUGGAUGUGCAAGGGCGUUCCCCCACAGUUUUGCCCAAAAUGGUGAAACAUCAGGAAAGAAUUACAUAUGUAUUAGUGGAGCUUGGUCAAAUAAGCACUAGUUCUCCAUGUGAUGGUGCAUUCAUGUGUUUAACAUCAAGAGAUUAUGCUGUCAUAGAUGAAAAGAGAAUUUCAGAACAAUAUAUCUGUACAAAACGUAUUAACCAUAAAAGAUGGCUACACAGGACUUCAUUAAAAUUAAGGCUUUCUGUUCAUCAAAAUACAUCAUUCCGAGGCUGACUUCAGCUGCCAGGUCCCCCACUAGCUGGCCGUGAGACUUUGGGUGAACUGUUCCAGCCCUCCGCCUCAGCUGCUCACCUGAGGACCCUUUCUGCA